rnacentral:rRNA from 1 species
GAUGAACGCUGGCGGCGUGCUUAACACAUGCAAGUCGAACGAUGAAAGCGGGAGCUUGCUCCUGCUGGAUUAGUGGCGAACGGGUGAGUAACACGUGAGCAAUCUGCCCCGAACUCUGGGAUAAGCGUUGGAAACGACGUCUAAUACCGGAUAUGACGCGCGAAGGCAUCUUCUGCGCGUGGAAAGAACUUCGGUUCGGGAUGAGCUCGCGGCCUAUCAGCUAGUUGGUGAGGUAACGGCCCACCAAGGCGACGACGGGUAGCCGGCCUGAGAGGGUGACCGGCCAAACUGGGACUGAGACACGGCCCAGACUCCUACGGGAGGCAGCAGUGGGGAAUAUUGCACAAUGGGCGCAAGCCUGAUGCAGCAACGCCGCGUGAGGGACGACGGCCUUCGGGUUGUAAACCUCUUUUAGUAGGGAAGAAGCAAAGUGACGGUACCUGCAGAAAAAGCACCGGCUAACUACGUGCCAGCCGCCGCUGUAACAC